rnacentral:lncRNA from 1 species
GAGAACCUCAGUGUGAGUUAGUUCACAAAGGAUUCUGACAAUUUCCUUGCUCUUCAUUUGCCUUUCAAGCAAGACAAGGAGAUAACGAUAUGAGACAGUGCAUGAAGUAACACAUUAAUAACUCACAGGAAAAGGAUUCUUCAGAGAAAGUUCAAGCACUUUAAGUGAAGAGGGCAGCUCUGCUAAGUGACGAUCUGAAUCACCUUCUGCUCUCAGGUAGCUGAAAGGAGGCAUGCCACCAUAGCUAAAAUUUUAAGACACACUCUCCUGCCAGGAUUUUGGGAAUCAACAACAGCACGACAGCUGGUGGCCAUACCUGUGGUUUCUGGAUAGUUCUUUCUGGAUAGUUCCUUCAACAGCAAAGCCACAUAUAAGCUUUAGACUGCUGUGAUUUUUAUUUU